GACGAACGCUGGCGGCGUGCCUAAUACAUGCAAGUCGAACGCAGUGGGGACGGGUGAGUAACACGUGGGUAACCUCCCAUCAGAGGGGAUACCACUUGGAAACAGGUGCUAAACCGAUAGUGAUGGAUGGACCCGCGGUGCGUUAGCUAUUUGGUGAGGUAACGGCUCACCAAGGCCACGAUGCCUAGCCGACCACAGAGGGUGAUCGCCGACUCUGGGACGGAGACACGGCCCAGACUCCUACGGGAGGCAGCAGUAGGGAAUCGUCGGCAAUGGACGAAAGUCUGACAGAGCAACGCCGCGUGAGUGAAGAAAUUUUGCGGAUCGUAAAACUCUGUUGUGAGAGAAGCGGUAUCUAACCAGAAAGCCAAGGCUAACUACGUGCCAGGAGGCGCGGUAAUAC
rnacentral:rRNA from 1 species